UACGGAGGGUGCAAGCGUUAUCCGGGUUCACUGGGUUUAAAGGGAGCGUAGGUGGGUUGGUAAGUCAGUGGUGAAAUCCCCGAGCUUAACUUGGGAACUGCCAUUGAUACUAUCAGUCUUGAAUACCGUGGAGGUCAGCGGAAUAUGUCAUGUAGCGGUGAAAUGCUUAGAUAUGACAUAGAACACCAAUUGCGAAGGCAGCUGGCUACACGAUUAUUGACACUGAGGCUCGAAAGCGUGGGGAUCAAACAGG
rnacentral:rRNA from 1 species